UGGGGAAUUUUGGACAAUGGGCGAAAGCCUGAUCCAGCAAUGCCGCGUGUGUGAAGAAGGCCUUCGGGUUGUAAAGCACUUUUGUCCGGAAAGAAAUCCUUGGCUCUAAUACAGUCGGGGGAUGACGGUACCGGAAGAAUAAGCACCGGCUAACUACGUGCCAGCAGCCGCGGUAAUACGUAGGGUGCAAGCGUUAAUCGGAAUUACUGGGCGUAAAGCGUGCGCAGGCGGUUUGCUAAGACCGAUGUGAAAUCCCCGGGCUCAACCUGGGAACUGCAUUGGUGACUGGCAGGCUAGAGUAUGGCAGAGGGGGGUAGAAUUCCACGUGUAGCAGUGAAAUGCGUAGAGAUGUGGAGGAAUACCGAUGACGAAGGCAGCCCCCUGGGCCAAUACUGACGCUCAUGCACGAAAGCGUGGGGAGCAAACAGGAUUAGAUACCCUGGUAGUCCACGCCCUAAACGAUGUCAACUAGUUGUUGGGGAUUCAUUUCCUUAGUAACGUAGCUAACGCGUGAAGUUGACCGCCUGGGGAGUACGGUCGCAAGAUUAAAACUCAAAUGAAUUGACGGGGUCAUAGCUGUUUCCU
rnacentral:rRNA from 1 species